rnacentral:rRNA from 1 species
UGGCGGCGUGCCUAAUACAUGCAAGUCGAGCGAACGGACGAGAAGCUUGCUUCUCUGAUGUUAGCGGCGGACGGGUGAGUAACACGUGGAUAACCUACCUAUAAGACUGGGAUAACUUCGGGAAACCGGAGCUAAUACCGGAUAAUAUUUUGAACCGCAUGGUUCAAAAGUGAAAGACGGUCUUGCUGUCACUUAUAGAUGGAUCCGCGCUGCAUUAGCUAGUUGGUAAGGUAACGGCUUACCAAGGCAACGAUGCAUAGCCGACCUGAGAGGGUGAUCGGCCACACUGGAACUGAGACACGGUCCAGACUCCUACGGGAGGCAGCAGUAGGGAAUCUUCCGCAAUGGGCGAAAGCCUGACGGAGCAACGCCGCGUGAGUGAUGAAGGUCUUCGGAUCGUAAAACUCUGUUAUUAGGGAAGAACAUAUGUGUAAGUAACUGUGCACAUCUUGACGGUACCUAAUCAGAAAGCCACGGCUAACUACGUGCCAGCAGCCGCGGUAAUACGUAGGUGGCAAGCGUUAUCCGGAAUUAUUGGGCGUAAAGCGCGCGUAGGCGGUUUUUUAAGUCUGAUGUGAAAGCCCACGGCUCAACCGUGGAGGGUCAUUGGAAACUGGAAAACUUGAGUGCAGAAGAGGAAAGUGGAAUUCCAUGUGUAGCGGUGAAAUGCGCAGAGAUAUGGAGGAACACCAGUGGCGAAGGCGACUUUCUGGUCUGUAACUGACGCUGAUGUGCGAAAGCGUGGGGAUCAAACAGGAUUAGAUACCCUGGUAGUCCACGCCGUAAACGAUGAGUGCUAAGUGUUAGGGGGUUUCCGCCCCUUAGUGCUGCAGCUAACGCAUUAAGCACUCCGCCUGGGGAGUACGACCGCAAGGUUGAAACUCAAAGGAAUUGACGGC